rnacentral:tRNA from 1 species
CGGAUUCAAAAUCCGCCGUUGAAUAAACGUGUCGGUUCGAGUCCGACCCUAGGCACCA